UAAUACAUGCAAGUCGAACGCUUUGUGGUUCAACUGAUUUGAAGAGCUUGCUCAGAUAUGACGAUGGACAUUGCAAAGAGUGGCGAACGGGUGAGUAACACGUGGGAAACCUACCUCUUAGCAGGGGAUAACAUUUGGAAACAGAUGCUAAUACCGUAUAACAAUGACAACCGCAUGGUUGUUAUUUAAAAGAUGGUUCUGCUAUCACUAAGAGAUGGUCCCGCGGUGCAUUAGCUAGUUGGUAAGGUAAUGGCUUACCAAGGCGAUGAUGCAUAGCCGAGUUGAGAGACUGAUCGGCCACAAUGGGACUGAGACACGGCCCAUACUCCUACGGGAGGCAGCAGUAGGGAAUCUUCCACAAUGGGCGAAAGCCUGAUGGAGCAACGCCGCGUGUGUGACGAAGGGUUUCGGCUCGUAAAACACUGUUGUAAGAGAAGAAUGACAUUGAGAGUAACUGUUCAAUGUGUGACGGUAUCUUACCAGAAAGGAACGGCUAAAUACGUGCCAGCAGCCGCGGUAAUACGUAUGUUCCAAACGUUAUCCGGAUUUAUUGGGCGUAAAGCGAGCGCAGACGGUUAUUUAAGUCUGAAGUGAAAGCCCUCAGCUCAACUGAGGAAUUGCUUUGGAAACUGGAUGACUUGAGUGCAGUAGAGGAAAGUGGAACUCCAUGUGUAGCGGUGAAAUGCGUAGAUAUAUGGAAGAACACCAGUGGCGAAGGCGGCUUUCUGGACUGUAACUGACGUUGAGGCUCGAAAGUGUGGGUAGCAAACAGGAUUAGAUACCCUGGUAGUCCACACCGUAAACGAUGAGUGCUAGGUGUUUGAGGGUUUCCGCCCUUAAGUGCCGCAGCUAACGCAUUAAGCACUCCGCCUGGGGAGUACGACCGCAAGGUUGAAACUCAAAGGAAUUGACGGGGACCCGCACAAGCGGUGGAGCAUGUGGUUUAAUUCGAAGCAACGCGAAGAACCUUACCAGGUCUUGACAUCCCUUGACAACUCCAGAGAUGGAGCGUUCCCUUCGGGGACAAGGUGACAGGUGGUGCAUGGUUGUCGUCAGCUCGUGUCGUGAGAUGUUGGGUUAAGUCCCGCAACGAGCGCAACCCUUAUUACUAGUUGCCAGCAUUUAGUUGGGCACUCUAGUGAGACUGCCGGUGACAAACCGGAGGAAGGUGGGGAUGACGUCAAAUCAUCAUGCCCCUUAUGACCUGGGCUACACACGUGCUACAAUGGCGUAUACAACGAGUUGCCAACCCGCGAGGGUGAGCUAAUCUCUUAAAGUACGUCUCAGUUCGGAUUGUAGGCUGCAACUCGCCUACAUGAAGUCGGAAUCGCUAGUAAUCGCGGAUCAGCACGCCGCGGUGAAUACGUUCCCGGGUCUUGUACACACUGCCCGUCACACCAUGAGAGUUUGUAACACCCAAAGCCGGUGGGGUAACCUUCGGGAGCCAGCCGUCUAAGGUGGGACAGAUGAUUAGGGUGAAGUCGUAACAAGGUAACC
rnacentral:rRNA from 1 species